GAAAAAUACUAAUUUUCUGCAUGCAACUACACCCAUUAACAUAAAUACUACUAACUACACUGCAAUUCAACAGGAAACCCUUGAAGGCCAAGAGAGGCAUCAGGUCCCCUGGAGCUGGAGUUACAGGUGGUUGAGAGUUGCCUGGUGUGGGUGCUGGGCACUGAACAAAUGUCCUCUGGAAGAGCAGUAGGUGCUCUGCACAGUGAGCUGUCCCUGCAGCCCCAAGAUGGUCUUUAAUAACCUCCCUGCUCUUCCUUACUGAAGACAAGACUAAGCUGACAAGUCAUCAGUUUACUUUUGUGUUUUCAAUUUCUAACUGGUCAUUCCAUUUGCUGGGAAACCUGCACAGGAAAGUAAGCACUCAAAUGAAAAUGGUUUGGAAAGCAUGCCAGGAACUCUCGAAGGUUUAAUUCAAGGGUGCUGUUACCUAAUGGUUUGUAGGCAAGCAUGUCAGCCUGGAAGAAUAAAACCAAUUAGGGAGGUAUACAUAUUAGUACAUUUUGCUACUGACCAAAUCAAAUCCAACCAAAUAGACAACUAAUUGUAUGUCUGUUUUAAAAUCUAGUUACCUAAAAUUAUAGUUUCAUUAUUCUGAGAAAAGAUUACAUGUCAGUAGCAUAGGUGUGAUGCAUGGUGUGAGGAUAUUGUCAGUCUGAACAGAAGGGCCCUUCCCAGAGAUGAAUUCUUUGGCAAAAAUGGAGGAUUUACAUGUCCACAGGAUCAGUAAGUUAACCAACUUAAAAUCCCCUAGUUUUUGUAGCUGUAUGAUUUCAUUACAAUCAGUAGUUAUCUGUGUUAGCAGGUAACGGGUUAGCCUUGAAAAUGGUACACAUACACCAAAUGUUAAUCAUGUGUAUUGGCUUGAAAGUUCAUUAAGUAUGCAGAUAAUGAGGUUCCAGAUUCCUUGAACUUUCUCCUUCCCUCCCGCCCUCCCUUUGUCCCUGCUUCCUUCCUUUUUCCCCUGAGGUCUUCUUCCCUGUUAGCAAAGAGGUGAUAAUUAGUAACAGUGGAUCCAGUUGUCUAUUGGUUGAACCCACCCCACGAUCCCUGCUGCUUUGAAAACAGUCAGCGGGAGCCAGAAGCUCUUUGUUUACGUACUUUUCAGAGGAGGGAGUUAAUGGGGGCGGUUCUGAAAACCGAGGAGGUGGCGCACAGCAAUCUGGUGACAUUUCGCUGGAGCAUGCUGCCACCUCCUGGCCACACAAGGCAGGGCCUCUUCAUAAGAUGGCAGCUGGGGCCCUGGAGAAUGGCUCAUCGGUUAAGAACACUGAUAAGUUACUACCACAGAUGAAAAGGAAAUGAUCCUAGACUGACUACAUUUCACUCCGGGCACAG